rnacentral:rRNA from 1 species
AGUGAACGCUGGCGGUAGGCCUAACACAUGCAAGUCGAACGGCAGCACAGUAAGAGCUUGCUCUUACGGGUGGCGAGUGGCGGACGGGUGAGGAAUACAUCGGAAUCUACCUUUUCGUGGGGGAUAACGUAGGGAAACUUACGCUAAUACCGCAUACGACCUACGGGUGAAAGCAGGGGAUCUUCGGACCUUGCGCGAUUGAAUGAGCCGAUGUCGGAUUAGCUAGUUGGCGGGGUAAAGGCCCACCAAGGCGACGAUCCGUAGCUGGUCUGAGAGGAUGAUCAGCCACACUGGAACUGAGACACGGUCCAGACUCCUACGGGAGGCAGCAGUGGGGAAUAUUGGACAAUGGGCGCAAGCCUGAUCCAGCCAUACCGCGUGGGUGAAGAAGGACUUCGGGUUGUAAAGCCCUUUUGUUGGGAAAGAAAAGCAGCAGGUUAAUACCCCGCUGUUCUGACGGUACCCAAAGAAUAAGCACCGGCUAACUUCGUG